UAAUUAAUAAAAUUGUCUUUAAAAAAGUUUAUUAAGUGUAUAAAUUUAAUUAAAUAAGUUUUAGUCUUUGUAAUUUUCAAGAAUUAGAUUUUUUGAACGAUAGGGAACGAGUAUUGUAAAAGAAAUAUUAAAUAUACUUAUAAUUAAUAAAAGGAGAUUUGAUUAAUUGUAUCUUGUGUAUCAGAGUAUAUUAAUUUGAAUUAUAUAUAUAUUUUUCUCGAAGUUUUAAGAUUUAAUUAAAUAUAAGUAGUUAUUGUUUCAAAAAUAUUAUAAAUAUUUAAUUGGGAAUGAAAUGUUAUUCGUUUUAAAGGAUAUCUAGUUUUUUAAUAAAUGAAUUUAAUUCAGGGAAUAUAAGGAUAUUAUAUAUUUAUUAUAUAUAAUAUUAUGAUAUUUCUAGUUUUUAAGGGGAUAAACUUUUAAAAAAAAAAUUAUAAUGGGAAGGAAUUUAUGGAGAAUUUUGUAAAUUUAGAAUUUGUUAAUAAUUAAAGGAUGUUAAAAUUUAGUUCUUGAUUUAUUUUAUUUAUUAUUAGUUUAAAAUUUUUAUUAAAAUAUUUAGUUAAAUUAUGAAAAUUAUAAUAAUUAUGAUUUAAUUAGUAAAUUGUAGCUUUUUGAAGUAAUUCAUUAAAUAAGAAAGUUUAAGGUAAUGAAUUAGGCAAAAUUUUUGUUCGCCUGUUUAAUAAAAACAUGUUCUCUUGAAUUAAUUAAGAGAUCUAACCUGCCCACUGAAUGAAAAAUUUAAAGGGCCGCAGUAUUUUGACUGUGCAAAGGUAGCAUAAUCAUUAGUCUUUUAAUUGAAGGCUAGUAUGAAUGGUUGGACGAGACAAAUUCUCUAUCACUUUAAUGUAAGAUUUAAAUUAGAUUUUAAGUAAAAAUACUUAAAUGGUAGUAAGGGACGAGAAGACCCUAUAGAGUUUAAUAUAUCAAGUUUAAAUUAGGUUUAUUUAAAAUUAUCAAUUCUUUAUGUAGUGUAUUUAGUUGGGGUGAUGAAAAGAUAAUAAUAACUCUUUUUAAGAAUUAAUUAUUUAAUAAGUAAAAUGAUCCAUAAGUUAGUGAUUAGAAGAUUAAAUUACCUUAGGGAUAACAGCAUAAUUUUUUUUGAGAGUUCUUAUCGAAAAAAAAGAUUGUGACCUCGAUGUUGGAUUAAGAAAAAUUUUAGGUGUAGAUGUUUAAAAAUUAGGUCUGUUCGACCUUUAAAUUCUUACAUGAUCUGAGUUUAAACCGGCGUGAGCCAGGUUGGUUUCUAUCUUUAUUAUUGUUUAAUGUUUUAGUACGAGAGGACCAAAUAUUAAAAAUAAUUUUUAUUUUCUGAAUAUUUUUAAGUUAAAGAGGGUAA
rnacentral:rRNA from 1 species